AUUGAACGCUGGCUGCAGGCUUAACACAUGCAAGUCGAGCGAGCGGCUGACGGGUGAGUAAUGUCUGGGAAACUGCCUGAUGGAGGGGGAUAACUACUGGAAACGGUAGCUAAUACCGCAUACCAUCAGAUGUGCCCAGAUUGGAUUAGCUAGUAGGUGGGGUAACGGCUCACCUAGGCGACGAUCCCUAGCUGGUCUGGUAGGAUGACCAGCCACACUGGAACUGAGACACGGUCCAGACUCCUACGGGAGGCAGCAGUGGGGAAGAUUGCACAAUGGGCGCAAGCCUGAUGCAGCCAGGCCGCGUGUAGGAAGAAGGCCUUCGGGUUGUAAAGUACUUUCAGCGAGGAGGCGUUACUCGCAGAAGAAGCACCGGCUAACUCCGUGCCAGCAGCCGCGGUAAUUC
rnacentral:rRNA from 1 species